CGGGUUCAAUACCCAAACCGUGUCUAUCUACCAUUGUUGCUUUGGCAGGCCGCCUUCGGGCGUCGGCUCCAGCUGACCAGCGCUCGCCAGAGGCCCAAAACUCUGUGUUUAGUGAUGUCUGAGUACUAUAUAAUAUUUUAAAACUUUCAACAACGGAUCUCUUGGUUCUGGCAUCGAUGAAGAACGCAGCGAAAUGCGAUAAGUAAUGUGAAUUGCAGAAUUCAGUGAAUCAUCGAAUCUUUGAACGCACAUUGCGCCCCUUGGUAUUCCGAGGGGCAUGCCUGUUCGAGCGUCAUUAUAACCAUUCAAGCCUAGCUUGGUAUUGGGGUUCGCGUGUUCGCGGCCCUUAAAAUCAGUGGCGGUGCCGUCUGGCUCUAAGCGUAGUAAUUCUCUCGCUAUAGAGUCCCGGCGGUUACUUGCCAGAACCCCCCACAUUCUAGGUUGACCUCGGAUCAGGUAGGGAUACCCGCUGAACUUAAGCAUAUCAAUAA
rnacentral:rRNA from 1 species